rnacentral:lncRNA from 10 species
CUGGAGUCUGAUGUCCAAAGGCAGGAGGAAUGGAUGGAGGCAUCCAGCACAGGAGAGGGAUGAAAGCCAGAACUCUGCAAGCCAGCUUAGCCCGCCCACCUUCUCUCUCCUGUUUUGUUGUAGCUACCCUGGCAGCCGACUGGAUGGUGUCAACCCCCAUUGAGGAUAAGAAAACUGAGUCUCAGAGAAAUUAUGGCUUGUCCUGGCUUUUCCCAGGCAAGUAAAUGCAGGCCACAGUCUGCCAGCUGCCCAACCAUUCAGGCUUUUCAUUAUUAUAGGAAGCAUCUGGCCAAGGACCACCAACAUCUUCCUGUCCUGCCCCUGAAGCUGUGAGUUCCCCAAGUGGAGACACAGCCUGUUCCCCAACACCUACACUCAUGAACACGGGAGGGUUGGUCAAAAUUGCACCGCUAUCAUGCUUAGUUUUAUACUCAGGUGUAAGUGACUGAUAGAAGGGCCUUUUGGAGGUGGAGAGUGCGCAGGUUCUGAAGAGGCAAGACUGGGGAAGUCUGGACCUGCUUCCAGAGUGUCCUCCCACAAGGCUUAGUGCUCAGGACCUGUAGUGGGUUGAAUAUGUUCCCUAAAGUUCGUGUCUAUCCAGCAUCUCAAAAUGUGAACGCAUUUGGAAACUGGGGCUUUGAAGACGUAAGUAGUUAAGGAUCUUGAGAUGAAAUCAUGCUGGAUAUAGGAUGGGCCUUAAAUUCAAUGACUGGUAUCUUUAUAAGAGAAAGGAGAGGGAAAUUCGGACACACAGAGAUGAGUAAGAAGCCAUGUGAAGAUGGAGGGAGAGAUUGGAAUGAGGCUGCCACAAGCCAAGGAACAUCAGAAGCCACCAGAAGCUGAAAGAAGCAAGGAAGGAUUCUCCCUGAGAGCCUUUAGAGGGAGCAUGGUACUUUAUUUCAGACUUCUGGUCUCCAGAACUGUGGAAGAAUACAGUUCUGUUGUUUUAAGCUACCAAGUUUGUGGUCAUUUGCUAUGGCAGCCCUAGGAAACUAACACAGGUUGAGUAUCCCUUAUCUGAAAUGCUUGGGACUGGGACUGUUUCGGGUUUCAGAUUUUGGAAUAUUUGCAUAUAUAUAAUGAGAUAUAUUGGGGAUGGGACCCAAGACUAAACACAAAAUCCAUCUAUGUUUCAUAAAUACCUUAUACACACUUACACUGUGCCCCAUUUUCUCCAACAACUUGACUUUCUGUACUAUAGAUAAACAUAAAUGUUUUCUCUCCCUUUUUUUUUUUUUUUUUUCUUUUGAGACAGAGUCUUGCUCUGUCGCCCAGGCUGGAGUGCAAUGGCACAAUCUCGGGUCACUGCAACCUCCUGGAUUCAAGUGAGUCUUCUGCCUCAGCCUCCCGAGUAGCUGGGACUACAGGCAUGUGCCACCACGCCUGGCUAAUUUUUGUAUUUUUAGUAGAGACGGGGUUUCACCAUGUUGGUUAGGCUGGUCUUGAACUCCUGACCUCAAGUGAUCCAGCCGCCUCGGCCUCCCAAAUUGCCGGGAUUUCAGGCAUGAGCCACCGCGCCUGGCCUUGCUUUUUCUCUUUUAAAAUCACUGUUACUCAUGGGGUAUCUGCAGGCCUUUUUGAUAUUUUCUUUUUUUUUUUUUUUUUUGAGACGGAGUCUCGCUCUGUCACCCAGGCUGGAGUGCAGUGGCGCAAUCUCGGCUCACUGCAAGCUCCGCCUCCCGGGUUCACGCCAUUCUCCUGCCUCAGCCUCCCAAGUAGCUGGGACUACAGGCGCCCGCCACUACGCCCGGCUAAUUUUUUGUAUUUUUAGUAGAGACGGGGUUUCACCGUUUUAGCCGGGAUGGUCUCGAUCUCCUGACCUCGUGAUCCGCCCGCCUCGGCCUCCCAAAGUGCUGGGAUUACAGGCGUGAGCCACCGCGCCCGGCCAACCUUUUUGAUAUUUUCAACAAUAUCUUUAUACCACAGAGCAGAGAAUAAGCAAAAAAACCCCACAGUGAGUAAGGCACGUAGGUCUUGGCUCCUACAUGGGGCAUUAUGGGGAACGUGCUGUUGACGACACUGGCCUGCACACAUGCCAUUUUAUGACCCUUUGUGGGUGUGUGCACGUUGGGGAAACCGGGCAUGUGCAGAAAAGAUAUAUCUCAGCGGAAAGGGGCUGGGAGGGCCUUUUAUUUCCUUGGGGGAAAUACUGUGCAUUGUAUGACCCGUUGUGUGAGGUCAGGUGUGGAAUUUUCCACCGAGGCACCACAUUAGUGCUCAAAAUUGUUCAGAUUUUGGAGCCUAGGGUUUCGGAUCUUCAGAUUAGGGGUGCUCAACCUGUACAACAUCCUUGCAACAAUCUAGGUGUGAGCUUUCCUCAAGAGCAAGAAGAGCUUGCCACUUCUGCUAUAUGACCACGGUGAAGCCAGCCUGUCACCCUCCUGCCCUGGAUGACCCCAGGGAGCUCUACAGAGGUCCAUGGCUGGGGGAGGCCAGCAAUUGUCUAGGAGAGCUCAGUGCCACUUGCAAAGACGACAGAUCUCUCUACAAAUUCUGGGCUGAGCAGGUGAAGGAGGCUGGUCAGGCCCAUGAAGGAGCCUAGUCAGCCGUAAGGAAAGGUUCACUGUGGGGCCCCCGACUUCCCAUUCCUGAUCUCCUUUGUACCUCUGCUGCCCACUUCCUUUCCUCUUUCCCUCCAAGUAUACCUUAUACUCUGCUCCUGAUGACACUCAGAUCUCCCCCCGCCCCCCCGC